rnacentral:lncRNA from 1 species
CAGUUACUAAUUAGGGAAGCAGGGAAUGCACAAACAAAGGAAAAGCAGUUAAACAAGAAAAGUAAUGACAAUAAUUCAGACAUAAAGCAGAGUUCAAGUUCCUUCUCAAGGGAUAUACAUAACAAUCUGACAGGUAUCUUCAUCAGGAACUAAGGCCCCUCCACCCACCCAGGUGGAGGUGGGUGACUACAUCCUCAAGCCCUAGACCUCAGAUUGGCUGGACCCUGAAGGGUAUGGACAGAUUCCUGAAGCAUCAUCCUGUUACCUUACCACCAAACAAAGUCAUGAAUCCCAGAGCCCUCACCCCAAAUGUUGCCUUUAAAACUGAUCCCAUGAAAACCAUCCUGGAGUUCAGGCCUUUUAAGCAAGAGUUGCCCAUACUCCUUGCUGGGCCCUGCAAUAAAUGUACUUUCCUUCACCACAACCAGGUGUCAAUAAAUUGGCCUUGCUGCAUGGGGCGGGGGCGGGGAGCGGGGGGAAGGUGAGCAGACUCAAGUGCGCUUCAAUAACAAAAACAGUCAGUAUUUUAUAACAACUUUACGAGAAGUGUAAUUUAUAAAAAUAUUGAAUUACUAUGGUGUACACUGGAAUCUAAUAUAAUAUUGCAAGUCAACCAUACUUUAAUAAUAAUUUUUAAAAGUGCUUAUAAUCACUGUAAAGUCUUCACUCAUAAAAUCAUUUAGAUUUUUUUAAUUACCAAAUGCAAGAAUUCCAAAAAAGUUCUGAGAGCAGUUUCUAUUAAUUUUUUAAUACUGUAUUAGAUAAGCAGAUUCUAAUCUACAUUCUGUCACAAAAUAUAUUCUCACUUAAAAGGGGUUAUCAGGAGUUCCUGUUGUGGCUCAGUGGUUAAUGAAUCCAACUAGGAACCAUGAGGUUGCGGGUUCGAUCCCUGGCCUUGCUCAGUGGGUUGAUGAUCCGGCGUUGCCGUGAGCUGUGGAGUAGGUUGCAGACGUGGCUCAGAUCCCACGCUGCUGUGGCUGUGGCAUAGGCUGGCGGCUACAGCUCCGAUUCCACCCCUAGCCUGGGAAUCUCCAAAUGCCACAGGAGCAGCCCAAGAACAAAGGCAAAAAGACCAAAAAAAAAAAAAAAAGAAAGAAAGAAAGAAUGUACACUUUCAAGAAAAAAAAAAAGGGUUCAUUCAUUGUCUAAAUUUCUCUACAGGAAGAUAUCAUAAGCAGACCUCACAAAAAAGGACUAUGAAUCUAUCCUUACUCAUAUGUAUAAAUUAGUAGCAACAAAUAAAUUUAUUAUGCUAAAGAAAUGUAUAUCAGAGUUCCGUUGUGGCUCAGAUGAAAUACAUCCGACUAGCAUCCGUGAGGACAUAGGUUUGAUUCCUGGCCUCACUCAGGGGGUUAAGGAUACCGAAUUGCCCUGAGCUGUGGUGUAGGUUGCAGACACUGCUCAGAUCCUGCAUUGCUCUGGCUGUGGUGUAGGCCCGCGGCUACAGGACGAUUCAACCCCAGCCUGGGAACCUCCAUAUGCUUCGGGUGCGGCCAUAAAAAAAAAAAAAAAAAAAAAAAAAUGUUACCCAUACCUCCCAAUUACUGUAUUUUUAAAAUUUAUUCAUUGAACAAUUACACUUUUAGAUAUAUACCAGGCACUAUUAUAGGUGAAAACUAUCCAAAAGUUUUUGCAUACAUUUAUGAGUGGCUACUUUGUUAUUGGUGUUUGUUAGCACAAAUCUCUUACUCUGAUAGCCUAUACAAUCCUCCCUGGAAAUCUGCCCAGGGUUGGUUCCAAAACUUCCCCCAGACACCAAAAUCCCACAUAUACGUAGUACCUCAGCCAUCAGCUCAACACUAAAUUACUGAUACUUACUCUUGUGACUUAAGUUUUUUAAGACUCAAGGAUAAAAAGUAACCUUUAAAUAGAAAAUUAAUUUUCAACUAUUCAAUUAUUUUACUGUUUUCUUUGGUAUUCCUGCACAAAAUACAUGGUACUAUUGACUUGGUGGAUUACUAGUUAGCCUUGGAUAAAUGAAAACGAAACUCAAGGCAGUAUCUUCGCUUUUGUCUCAUGAGUGUCAAAACUGCUACAGCUAAUCACAAAAUAUUAGCCUUUUAGCCAGGUUUUGGGAAACAAUAAAUUUCCCCGUCAAAAAAUGACCCUGCGUGCUUUCUACUUCGAUUUUUAAAAAUAAUGAGGAAAAGGGGGUAAUUCCUGUCUCCUUCCUGUCGUCCCCAAAGAGUUCAGAAGUUAGGAUGUUUCUCUUGCAAAAACCUCUCCCAACCCACGACGAAGCAACCAAGCAUGCCAAGGUAAGCCCAGACUGCUAAAUCAUCAACCAGAUUGUAACCAGGAAAACCAAGAAUUGACAAAAUUCUCCUUCACUUCCACUGUUUCUGCAAAGACUACCACUUUUUAGCUUAAAAAAACCCAAAAACCAAAAAACACAACAACAACAACAACAAAACCACUGCAGGAAUGCUGGCUGUACACUAAUGAAUACAACUGUCCAAAUGCAGCACCUGACGCUCACUACAACCGGAAGAUGGCCUUAGUCAGAGGUCAGCUGAGUAGAGCAAACACUUUAUUAGUCCCUCCUCGAAAACCAUAGAAAAUGAAGACGUCUCUUUCGAAUCUGAGGAUAAUCGUGGGGCGCCUCCCUCUCUCCCUUUUCAUUACCAGCCUUUUUGAAUCAGGCAGUCCAUCAGUCAACCUUCUCUGUCAGUGAGGGGGUUUUCAAGACAAAGAUAAUUGGAAUAGCUCUCUGGAACCCAAGGGAUCAUUCUUCAGGCACCAGAAUCCCCGUCAAGCCCCCACAAUAACAUAUCAAAGCCUGCGUUCCUCAUCACCACCACCAUUCGUCGCUCUUCCUAGCCAGGGCUGAGACUCAGACCAGGAAAACCUUUCCCUUGCAGGUAGGUAAGAAGGCACCAGGUCUGUUCCCUCGGGCCCCUCCUCUCCUCCACGGCUCCCUCAGGACACCUCUAUAUCUUGAACCGCUAAAUCGGCUUGCAGCCGCCAAGAAGCCCUGUUCAGCCACACACAAGAUGGCAGCCAAAGACCUACCGGAGGAAACAGCAGCGCCACUACUC